AACGCGAAGAACCUUACCUGGCCUUGACAUCCUGGGGAUCCUGCCGAGAGGUGGGAGUGCCUUCGGGAGCCCAGUGACAGGUGCUGCAUGGCUGUCGUCAGCUCGUGUCGUGAGAUGUUGGGUUAAGUCCCGCAACGAGCGCAACCCUUGUCCUUAGUUGCCAGCGGUUUUAGCCGGGCACUCUAAGGUGACUGCCGGGGUCAACUCGGAGGAAGGUGGGGAUGGCGUCAAAUCAUCAUGCCCCUUAUGUCUAGGGCUGCAAACAUGCUACAAUGGCCGGUACAAAGGGCUGCGAUACCGUGAGGUGGAGCGAAUCCCAAAAAGCCGGUCUCAGUUCGGAUUGGGGUCUGCAACUCGACCCCAUGAAGUUGGAGUCGCUAGUAAUCGCAGAUCAGCAACGCUGCGGUGAAUACGUUCCCGGGCCUUGUACACACCG
rnacentral:rRNA from 1 species